rnacentral:rRNA from 1 species
AAAGCGCGCGUAGGUGGUUUGUUAAGUUGGAUGUAAAAUCCCCGGGCUCAACCUGGGAACUGCAUCCAAAACUGGCAAGCUAGAGUAUGGUAGAGGGUGGUGGAAUUUCCUGUGUAGCGGUGAAAUGCGUAGAUAUAGGAAGGAACACCAGUGGCGAAGGCGACCACCUGGACUGAUACUGACACUGAGGUGCGAAAGCGUGGGGAGCAAACAGGAUUAGAUACCCUUGU